AAAAAAAAUAAACUACUUUAACGUAGAUUUUUUUCAGGGCUUUAUUAUGUGGUAUCAGAUUGGUGCAUAAACUCCAGUACUUCCCAAUACCGAUACUAGCGUUUUAGGCGGUAUUGGAGGCGAUACCGAUACUGGUAUGGAACAUCUCUCAUUUGUGUCACUGAGCC